AGCAAGAGUUUCCAAGCUUAAAUCAAACGAAGAGAUAGAAACAGAUUUUAGCUGAAAGAAAUUAAGGGAAAAAAAAAUGGGUUGCUUUGCUUGCUUCGAUGGUGGCAACAAGCAGCAGAGAAAAGAACAAGAGAGAUUGGCCUCAACAGAGGCCAGAGCCAAAGCUGCCGAGGCCGCCCAGAAACGGCAAGAGGAGUUUGAAAAGUCAGCUGCGGGAAAAGCUGCUCGUGCACAGAUGCAAGCAAUGACAAAACAAUCGGCAAACUCUAACACAGGCGAGGCAGUUCUUAAGUGGCAAAUCGGUUGAGGUUGUGCUUGUUGCCUGUUCAACCACAAGUCUCUGUUGUACUUUUAUUGAUUGAUUCAACCAGUUUCUCUGCUUUGCGUGAAGUGAAAGGUCAAUAUCACCACUGCCAUGUCAGCAUCAGUUAAAGUUUUCUGUAAUUUUUUUCUUUUUAGUAUAUUAACCAGUGCAUGACAGAAAAAAAAGUUGAAAAGAUGUAAAUUGUUUGUGGUUUACUCUUGUAUGGUUUCAGUGGCCCUCUCUUUUUAAAUAGUCUUUACUUUUUACCUCUA